rnacentral:lncRNA from 1 species
GAAUGAAAGAGUAAGUUGAUUAAUUUCUGAAGCCAGCACAAAUUUCCUUUAUGGGUAUAUAGUCCUGUUUUCUUACGAGACUUCUUUACGAAGAGUGGGUGUAAGAGCCUUCUAAUCAGAGAGCAUAGCAUGUUCAAAGGCUCUAGAAUAGGAGAGAGGAUGGUGUGUUCUAGGCACUGAAAGGAGGCCUGUGACCUGGGCAUUUGAUCUCUAGUCUAUGGUUGGGCUCCAGAUGUGAAAAGCCUCCUCAAUUCCCACCUCAGUCCCAUUCAGAGCUGAGAAUUGCUUUUUCCUUUACAUCUUAGUUCAUUUGUAAGAGGUGCAUGCUCAUUUUCAGCCAGAUUCGUGGGCCCCCCAAGGUCUGUGAGACUGUGGCUUCAUUAAUGCCAAAGAGACCCUUGGAGACAGUUGGGGUGAAUAAAAGGGUUGAAGCUAGAAGGAUUUAGGGAGAGAACUAAAGUAAGAGCCAGAGAAAGAAGAUCUAGUUAAAAUUCCAUGGGGGCUGGAAUCUUGGAAUGUUAGCAUCCUAAGGACCUGAAACAGCAUCUUAGGCUCUCAUCUUAUAGAUGUGUAAACUGAGGCUCAAAAGAAGGCAGGGACUAGUCCAAAUUUAUAUGGGGCUGAGCUGCAGAACACUUCCAGAAAAGCCCUUACUCAAAUUUAUAAUAUUGUUGCUUUAAUAUAGUGAAAAGAGCACCAGGAGGAAGAGGAGGCAGGAAGAGGUAGUGUGCUGAGUUUGGUUCCCAAUUUUUCACCUAGUAGCUGUGUGACCUUAGGCAAGCUAGUGAACCUCUCUGAGCCUUAGCACCUUUCUCUCUAAAAUGGGAUUUAUAAUCUCAUCCUUAGAGUAUUGUGAAAAUUAAAUGAGUUAGCAUGUGAAAAACAGCUGCUAUAGUGUUGUCCAUAUAUUUGCUACCUAAUACAAUAUUU